GCAACUUUGUAUCAUUAUUUAAGCGGAAUUUCAAGUUCCCGAUGCGAGAAAGACAUGUUGGUGAGGCGAGAAUUUUAGUGAUACGAACAGGAUUCCGUAUGAAACAGACAUUACAUUAUGAUGCUAACAAUCCUGUUAUCUUUAAUAUAGAUCAAGUACUGCAGUGGUGUUUUACAUAUCUAUUUUACACAUAGGAGUGUAUUUAAUUUUCUCGCAAUACACCACGAACUUCUGGAGCAGACGACAUAUACCUGCGCUAAUUUCAUAUAUAAUAAUUCACCAGCUGCUACUGUAUCAUACAUAUGUUACAGUACAAUAGGAUAUAAUCUUAGAGGAAAACACGGUAUAGUACACGCAUCAUGGGUAACUCCGAAUCAUAUACUGGGGGAUCAUCGACCAACAAAGAAGAAGUUUCAAAGGAAAAAUACGGGUCUGACGUCCCUGUCAUGAAUUUUCAAAGUAGGGGUGCUCCUCGUCGGCGUUUGCAAGGUGAACCUCGAGAACUCGCACAACACAACAUUGAAACAGUGACACUUUCAGACAAUGCUCCACGUAUAAGGACGCGAGCUCAAGCACCCGCAGAUCAUUUAGAUAAUUAAAAAAAGAAUGAAGAAAUUAUAAAUUUUCAAUAUCCUUUUA